rnacentral:misc_RNA from 1 species
GCCAAUAACAAAAAAAUUAGAAUUGUAGUGGAAGGGAAAUAUUUAAGAGAUAAUAAUACCGUUGAUUCUUUGCUUUCCCAGUUUCACUAUAAUUCAAUGUUGUAUUUAUUUAUUUAUUUUUUUCGUGCACUCAACUGUUGAAAUAGAGAAACACAUUUUAAUUAUAUGCAUCUGGCGAUAUUCAUUUGCCAUGAUACUAAUAGACCAUUAGGUUCAAAGUUCAAACUCCAGGUUUUUUUCACAAGUUUUUGGUUCCAUGUGGAAUCAGAUUUUGAUACCCUAUUGCUUGGUAUUAUGAGUACUGGAAUAUGAAUCUACACAAUUACAAAAUUGUCAUAA